GAUGAACGCUGGCGGCGUGCCUAAUACAUGCAAGUCGAGCGAACAGACGAGGAUCUUGCUCCUCUCACGUUAGGAACGGAUGGGUGAGUAACACGUGGAUAACCUACCUAUAAGACUGGGAUAACUUCGGGAAACCGGAGCUAAUACCGGAUAAUAUAUUUAACCGCAUGGUUCAAUAGUGAAAGACGGUUUUGCUGUCACUUAUACAUGGAUCCGCGCCGCAUUAGCUAGUUGGUAAGGUAACGGCUUACCAAGGCAGCAAUGCGUAGCCGACCUGAGAGGGUGAUCGGCCACACUGGGAGUGAGACACGGUCCAGACUCUGAGGGGAGGCAGCAGUAGGGACUGUUCCGCAAUGGGCGAAAGCUUGACGGAGCAACGCCGCGUUGGUGAUGAAGGUCUUCGGAUCGUAAGACUCUGUUAUUGGGGAAGAACAAAUGCGUAAGUAACUAUGCACGUCGUGACGGUACCUAAACAGAAAGCCCCGGCUAACUACGUG
rnacentral:rRNA from 1 species